rnacentral:rRNA from 1 species
UACAACAUAUCCUUAAUGCACCAGAUCCCACUAGAACUCCAUAGUUAAGUGCACUCAAGAUAGAGUAGUAUUAGGAUGGGUGACCAUAUAGGAAGUCCUAGUGUUUUAC